rnacentral:snRNA from 1 species
AUACUUACCUGGCAGGGGAGAUACCAUGAUCAUGAAGGUGGUUUUCCCAGGGCAAGGCUUAUCCAUUGCACUCCGGAUGUGCUGACCCCUGUGAUUUCCCCAAAUGUGGGAAACU